UCAUGUCGGACAGAAAUAUACUAGAGGGUGUGGUCGUCCUACAUGAAACACUACAUGAAAUCGACUCAAACAAGCUGAGUAAAUUGUCAAAAACUACCACAAUUCGCGCAACCAUGUCCAUUAGCUACCACAAUACGAUUUUAUGCGGAAAACUACCAAAAUCUUUCUAAUUUGUGGCAAAAAACUAUCAAAAGUUUUAUCUGCCCCAUUUAGCUCUUUUAACCGUUUUCCUGACAAGGCAUAUCAGGUGCCAGCAUGGCCACCUUUUUCUCUCCUCCCACCAGUUCUUUCUCUCUCCCCCCACCCUCCUUCUACCUCCCGACGGGGAGAGGCAGUGGGCGCUGGCCGGACACUGGGCACUCCAAGUCUCGGCAUAACUCCCCCACGCGUUUCCACACCGGAGUCAGCCAUGGCACGCCGCUCCCGCCAACCAAACUGAACGCACGCCUUCCUCCGGCGGCCCCAAGAGGAAACCAACCAUGACGUCGCCACGCCACGCCUUUCUCCCACUCCUCGCGCUCUGCCUCGUCCUGCGCCAUGGCGCGGCACAGCAGGCCGACGAGCGGCAGCUCCUGCUCAGGAUCAAG
rnacentral:lncRNA from 1 species